CCUCUUUGAAGCAGAUCACAUGGCAGGGGGAGUUAGCCUCUCUCUGAUCUCCUGCUUUCCCAAAUGAGUGAAAUUGGAGGCAGACAGGGAGCUUCCUUGCCUGUGAGCUGGGAUACAAUGAGAGAAGGGUGACAUCAAUAAGGGCAUUUCUGAAGACACAGGACUGAAAUCAACCAGUGGAGAGCUUUGCCCUGUUCCGGGCUGCAGCUCCAGGCAAGCCUUGACUGUAGAGUGUGGCAGUGAGAACUGCUGCUAUUCCAAAGUCAACUUCCACCCCCUCUGCUCUGCAAGAGACAGCCUGUGGGUCCAUGGAGGCCCAUGCAGCAACAAUUGUGAUGGCCUCAUGUAUUUCCCUUUUUGGAUGAAAGAAAAAUGAGUAAGAAAGUGAUAUUUCCUUUGAGGCCCAACACUGAAGAGAAUGGAUGCUAGUUCCAGACUUUCAACCCUGACAUCUAGCAAGCAAUCUGCAUAUAAUGGAUAGUCAAUAAAUACUGUUGAAUAACUAACUGGUGGCAGACUCUAAGUCAGAUUAUAGAGUUGCUAAUGUAUAAUAAAAAUAAAAUGUGCUUCAGUGCUUUGCCUGGCAUUGCUUUAGAGAGUAUUAAAGAAAUCAAACCGUUUGUUCUUUUGGUCAACCAUCUGGUGAUAAGAAUUUUAGGUACUCAGACUGUGAACAAAUCCUUCAAGGGUACAUUUUGCUUUAUCACAGUUGAGCUGAGCACCAAGCUGUUUAGGGGAUAACUCAAGUUCCUAAUGUCUUAUCAGAUGAAAACCAGGGGGGACUGGCUGAGGAUAGGAAAGGCUUUU